ACGAACGCUGGCGGCGUGGAUAAGACAUGCAAGUCGAACGAGAGAAUUGCUAGCUUGCUAAUAAUUCUCUAGUGGCGCACGGGUGAGUAACACGUGAGUAACCUGCCCCCGAGAGCGGGAUAGCCCUGGGAAACUGGGAUUAAUACCGCAUAGUAUCGAAAGAUUAAAGCAGCAAUGCGCUUGGGGAUGGGCUCGCGGCCUAUUAGUUAGUUGGUGAGGUAACGGCUCACCAAGGCGAUGACGGGUAGCCGGUCUGAGAGGAUGUCCGGCCACACUGGAACUGAGACACGGUCCAGACACCUACGGGUGGCAGCAGUCGAGAAUCAUUCACAAUGGGGGAAACCCUGAUGGUGCGACGCCGCGUGGGGGAAUGAAGGUCUUCGGAUUGUAAACCCCUGUCAUGUGGGGGCAAAUUAAAAAGAUAGUACCACAAGAGGAAGAGACGGCUAACUCUGUGCCAGCAGCCGCGGUAAUACAGAGGUCUCAAGCGUUGUUCGGAAUCACUGGGCGUAAAGCGUGCGUAGGCUGUUUCGUAAGUCGUGUGUGAAAGGCGCGGGCUCAACCCGCGGACGGCACAUGAUACUGCGAGACUAGAGUAAUGGAGGGGGAACCGGAAUUCUCGGUGUAGCAGUGAAAUGCGUAGAUAUCGAGAGGAACACUCGUGGCGAAGGCGGGUUCCUGGACAUUAACUGACGCUGAGGCACGAAGGCCAGGGGAGCGAAAGGGAUUAGAUACCCCUGUAGUCCUGGCAGUAAACGGUGCACGCUUGGUGUGCGGGGAAUCGACCCCCUGCGUGCCGGAGCUAACGCGUUAAGCGUGCCGCCUGGGGAGUACGGUCGCAAGAUUAAAACUCAAAGAAAUUGACGGGGACCCGCACAAGCGGUGGAGUAUGUGGCUUAAUUCGAUGCAACGCGAAGAACCUUACCUGGGCUUGACAUGUAAUGAACAACAUGUGAAAGCAUGCGACUCUUCGGAGGCGUUACACAGGUGCUGCAUGGCCGUCGUCAGCUCGUGUCGUGAGAUGUUUGGUUAAGUCCAGCAACGAGCGCAACCCCUGUUGCCAGUUACCAGCACGUGAAGGUGGGGACUCUGGCGAGACUGCCCAGAUCAACUGGGAGGAAGGUGGGGACGACGUCAGGUCAGUAUGGCCCUUAUGCCCAGGGCUGCACACGUACUACAAUGCCCAGUACAGAGGGGGCCGAAGCCGCGAGGCGGAGGAAAUCCUAAAAACUGGGCCCAGUUCGGACUGUAGGCUGCAACCCGCCUACACGAAGCCGGAAUCGCUAGUAAUGGCGCAUCAGCUACGGCGCCGUGAAUACGUUCCCGGGUCUUGUACACACCGCCCGUCACAUCAUGGAAGCCGGUCGCACCCGAAGUAUCUGAAGCCAACCGCAAGGAGGCAGGGUCCUAAGGUGAGACUGGUAACUGGGAUG
rnacentral:rRNA from 1 species